GGCUGUUCGCCCAUUAAAGUGGCACGCGAGCUGGGUUUAGAACGUCGUGAGACAGUUCGGUCCCUAUCCGCCGUGUGCGCAGGAGAUUUGAGAAGGGCUGUCCCUAGUACGAGAGGACCGGGACGGACGAACCUCUGGUGUGUCAGUUGUUCUGCCAAGAGCACUGCUGAUUAGCUACGUUCGGAAGGGAUAACCGCUGAAAGCAUCUAAGCGGGAAGCCUGCUUCAAGAUAAGAUCUCCCACAGGGUUAACCUGGUAAGGCCCCCAGUAGACCACUGGGUUGAUAGGCCGGAGGUGGAAGUGCGGCAACGCAUGGAGCCGACCGGUACUAAUAGGCCGAGGACUUAACCAA
rnacentral:rRNA from 1 species